CUAUUUGUAACAGGUGUUGCCUUCAACAUUAACAGUGCAGUCAAACAAAAACCACUCUGUGAAAGCCUGUAAACUAUUUCAGCAGACCUAUAAAAAUGUAAUAAAAUCAAGCAAAAUCAGAGUAAAUGUGAUCCCGCAAUGAGCAGAAAAGUUAGUAUUUCUUAAGGCAAACUCUACAUGCAACAAUAUGUUAUUUAUACUCUGAAGGGUCUGUAAAAUAGCCAUAUUGUUAAACUAAAGGAAUUUUCAGUAUUUUGUAUUUUGAAAAGUGCAUUGCAUUGGGAUUUAGGUUGAAAGAAAAUAUUCAUAUACACUUAUCAGAUUUACCAGCUUAUUCAUUCAUGCCCUUUCUUUUUUCUUUCUUUUUUUUUAGUAGUUUUUAGUUCAGUGUAUUUUUAUAUAAAUAUAUUUUCUUCCUAUAUAAUAUUUAUUCUAUAUUUUUGUAAUGUAAGUUAUGUGUUUGUUUUGUUUUAAAAUGUUAUUUUUGUCCCGCUUUAAGUUAUUGGUUCACUAGAGACUUUUAUUUUGAUGGCAAUAAUGCUGAUAAGUAUUUGCCAAUAAAAAAAUAAGUUUAUUUUGAAGAGCGGUUCAAGCAGAAGCGGAAGUGAUCGCAGAUGGAUGAGUUUUUGGAUCACGGAGUUUCGAGUGUAAAUAAGAGAAUUAACAGCAGCGAAAGAGUCACUGCAAGGAAAAUAAAAAGGAAACAACGCAAACGUCAGUGCAAGAGCAAAGAGCUACCUCCCAAAAUGCUAUCUGUUUUCAAUCAACUGGAAAAAGAACUGGUUGCACUCUAUCUGAGAGAUUUCCCUCAAACCCAGAAGCGCGUGCAGAGAGUGUGUCUUAUCAUCGGGACAUUUGAAGAAGAUUUCAGACGUGCUACUGGAUUCAUUACACACGCAUUAAAUGCAGAAGUGGCUGGAGGGUUGAUGAUGGGUUUGGGGUUAGUUUUAGCUCCAGUUCAUCAGGGCAUUUCUGCUCUUAUCGCAGGAGCGGGAGCAGCUGUGGUUUCAGGCGCUGCACUCUGUGAUACAAUCUGGAACAAGAAGAUCGUGAGCCUGCAGGCAAAAAUAAUACAAGACACUGAAGCUGAACUGAGCGAAUUUCAGCAUAAAAUCAGCCCUAUGCUGGACAAGAUGAAUGAGAUCAGUCAGCACGUUUAUGAAAUAUUGAGAGACCUCAGUUACCCAGAGCGUGAUGUUGGGUAUUUAAGUCAAUAUUUUUCAUCUGCCAGUGAAUUAGUGCGUUUCAUACAGAUAUAUGACAUUAGUGUGUUGGCUGCGCAGAUAAAGUCUCAGACAUCAUGUUUGCUCGGAGCUCAAUUUAUCAGAGUUAUGCCAGCUAGAAUGGCACUCCAGCAGAUGUGGAUAGAAAUCGUUCAGUUAGAGAAUGUCAUGGAUGAAAUUACUAAAACAAUAGAAAGAAUAGCAAAUCAGCCCGACUAAAUAUAACAAUAUGAAGGGCUAAACAAAGCAAGAAAGCUCUUUGACUUGACUUGCUCUGACUAUUCCUGGGAUAUAGAAACUAUAGAAUUUAAUGUCUGUUUGUUGGUAUACAUUUACAUGUAAGAUUCCAAAUUUUUUUUUUUUUUUUUUUGUCAGCUGUUGAAGUUUUGGUUCCUUGCCGCUAUCGUCUUUGGCUUGAGUAGUUGGGGACACUAGAUAUUCAAUAAUGUUGUUUUGAUAUGCCCGCAUUGACACCAAUUGUAUGCGAACUUAACUGAGCUGGACCAUGACAUCACUGUCUUCUCCAGUGCUGAUAUAUAGAUAAAUAACUAUUGAUUUCUACAACGGAAUGAAUCAAUACUGAAUUUAUUUAAGCUGGACAAUGGCACAAUUUUCUUCUAGAGCUGUUGUGCAGUUAUCACUGUAAAGCUGCUUUGACAAUCUGCAUCGCUGUAAUAAAGGUGACUUGACAUUAUGCA
ensembl:lncRNA